rnacentral:rRNA from 1 species
AUUGAACGCUGGCGGCAUGCCUUACACAUGCAAGUCGAACGGUAACGCGGGGCAACCUGGCGACGAGUGGCGAACGGGUGAGUAAUAUAUCGGAACGUGCCCAAUAGUGGGGGAUAGCCCGGCGAAAGCCGGAUUAAUACCGCAUACGACCUGAGGGUGAAAGCGGGGGAUCGCAAGACCUCGCGCUAUUGGAGCGGCCGAUAUCAGAUUAGGUAGUUGGUGAGGUAAAGGCUCACCAAGCCGACGAUCUGUAGCUGGUCUGAGAGGACGACCAGCCACACUGGGACUGAGACACGGCCCAGACUCCUACGGGAGGCAGCAGUGGGGAAUUUUGGACAAUGGGGGCAACCCUGAUCCAGCCAUGCCGCGUGCGGGAA